CAGCCGCCGCGGGAAUACGUAGGGUGCGAGCGUUAAUCGGAAUUACUGGGCGUAAAGCGUGCGCAGGCGGUUGUGUAAGACAGGUGUGAAAUCCCCGGGCUUAACCUGGGAACUGCGCUUGUGACUGCACAGCUAGAGUAUGGCAGAGGGGGGUGGAAUUCCACGUGUAGCAGUGAAAUGCGUAGAGAUGUGGAGGAACACCGAUGGCGAAGGCAGCCUCCUGGGAUAACACUGACGUUCAUGCCCGAAAGCGUGGGUAGCAAACAGGAUUAGAUACCCCGGUAGUCCCUGUCUCUUAUAC
rnacentral:rRNA from 1 species